ensembl:lncRNA
AAAAGGUCAAAAAUUUAUUUUUCCUUAGGGCAUAAGAGGCAUUGUAAACAAAAUACCAACAAACAAACAAACAAAUCACAAGUCAAUUCUUACAGUCUGCAAGCAUUUGAAGAUAGAGUACCCUUUUCCCACCUCCCCCCGAACACUGCAAGCCUGCUCAAACGGUAACAGGCAACAAUCCUGGGCCCUGAAGGUCCAGGGAGUUUUGACAUGUCCCAGGCUGGGACUAAAUUUCUCAUGUAUGAAGGACACUGCAUCUGUUUUAUCAAAAACUUAAAAAAAAAAAAAAAGUCCAACAAAAUAUAAAUAUUACAGAUAAAGAUCAGAUUUAGCACCACCUUUGGUCCGAGCAAUCAAUGAACUGGGAGAUGACAGGUACAGUUUGUUUAGCAAGUCCUUUCUGCCUGAGUCUUUGAAAACAUUAGAGGUUCAUAUUGCAAGAACUUGUAAUAUCUCUGAGAAAACACUUCUCAAAUUCUGGCAGUCCCUCACAAGCUCCCAGAGUGCUGCACACAGGGAGGGGGAGCAUCCUGGCUGGGCAGCAGCACCCAGAUCAGCAAAGAUCACUCAGAGUGCUCGGCAGAGCCCUGUGGGACAUGGCAAACACUGUGCCAAGGGUCUGGUCCUGCUUUGGCCCAGCAGAGCUCUGACUUCAGGCACGGCUGAGGAGCAGGAAGAGCAGUGACAGCAGGCAUCCUGAAUUUCCCUUUCCACUCAUAUUUGCCACCCCCCUCCACCUGUCAGACUGCGGCACCUGUGAGCUGCCAGGGUGGGUGAUGGCAGAUGCCUGGAAGGAGCUGAAGUUGCCUUGAGGCAAGUUAUUUCAGCAUAUCUGGAACAUGCAAAUCAGGAGUUCUUUUAUCAGUUGUAGUCUACUCCAAGGCCUUUUUAGGCUCAUCUUUUCCAAUACACACAUGUCCAUCAGACCCAAGGUUCUGAAUUUUUGCAAAGAGGUGUCACUGACCAGUUGCUGUGCCACAGCACUAGUGUACGCCAGGACACAAUCACAAGGACCUGUGAUAAUCCUAGAAGAAAUAUUAGGUUCAUAAAGCACCUGGCAAUAUUUUAUGUUUCUUACUACUCCCUCUCCAAUAUGUGUCCAGAAUUCAAAUUGUCUUUUCCUUUCCUGCUGGAAUUUUGGAGCAGUCCUGAUAAACCAUUAUUAAAUGCUGUUCAGUUCCAAAAUAACAACAGUUCUAACAAAUGCCUAUAGAGAAAUGCUGAGAUCUACUUUUAGGCACAGUAAUCUAAAAUAUUUGUUCUGUAUCUUCACAUACACAAUUGCCCAAGACAGAUGGUGUUUCUUAUUCUCUGUUGAGAGACCCAUACUGAGUUUCCACCUUUACAGACAGAGACAUGAUUAAAAUUUCCAAAACGAGCACUUGUUUUUACUUCACUGCUUUAGAACAUGCUGCUCUAGGGAAAAAUCCCAAACCUCAAUGAUUACAUUGUUAUGCAGUUCUCUGAGCAAACAGUUGGUCAUGGCACAGAGAGGAGGAAAGCCCCUCUGAGUGCAUUCCCUGUCCCACACAGGGCACAGCCAUGAGGACAGUCUGAAAUAGUUCUGGACUGGGCACUGCAAUCAAAUAAAUUCUGUGAAUCUGGAUUAAGGGGGAUUUUAUGCUUUUCACAGCUCAUUCCCCCCACUGCUGUCAUAGCCAGAGCAAAUGAAAACACUGUACUAUUAUAAUUUCAUCAAUUCUUGCUGGGAUAAAGCCACACUUCUGUUGUCCCAGUCACAGAAACAGGCCCCCAGUACCAUGUGCAUCAGCUGAAUCUUCACAGGUCCCAGCUGAUUUGUGCUGAAGGCUGAGGGAAAUUUUAGAGAGUCAUUUGGCAAAAAGGAGAUCUGUGUUUUCCUCACUGCUAAUACAUCUUUUGUGUUGGCCCACAGAAAAUGUUGCUCAUUUUGUUAACUAGUACUGUAAUCUGCAUCCAGUCUUUACAAUUGCUUACACACCGACUCAGGGACUGGUCACCAAAAGAUCUGUUUUGUUCCAGUUCAGACAGACUAGGGCAUCUAAUUCCACAUCAACAGUAACUCUUGCCACCAAUGGCAAAAGAUACUGUUAAGUGCAGAAAGUGUCACUUUCCAGGAUUUCAGUUUUACUGGGAUGACUGAGAAAGCUAAAUUUUUUUAAAUCAUGCAUAUGAUUUCCUCUCCUAGGAAAACCUCUCAUAGACUCGAGCACACCUAUACUUGCAAGAGUUGGUUCAUGGUAGAGUUUUAUCCAACUGGUCAGCAUCUCAAGUUCAUUAAACAAAAACUGAAAAAUGCUUGGAGCUACAGUUAGUAUUUCUGUCUCUAGCUCACAUUUGUUAUGACAUGCUGUGAAUGUCAAGAUACCUGUCACCUCUUUAAGAAUUAAUUCAUGACCAAAAGCUUUAACAUCUACAUGAUCAACAAUAUUCUCUCCACUGCCUUCAGUGGAGCUGGAUCAGAGGCCACAACAAAAUAUGGUCCAAAGCUGUUACCACAAAAAAGGAUUUCCCCUGACUCAUUUUUCUUCCUCUCUUAGCUUAACUUGCAACCCAAAACAAACGAAAUGGUCUCCUGCCCGUAAACUCUCUUAAAAAAACCCCAAAAACAAACAAACAAAAAAGCUCUCAGCUAACUCCUUCUCAUAUUUACUGCAACAGAAACUACACCAACUUCUAGACCUUUUCCGAAGCAGAACAGACAAAUUGGUUCCCAUAUUAAAAACAAAACAAGCAAAAGACAAAAAAGUGUCACCAACUUGACUACACACACACUAAGACCAGCCACACAUUUCUCUAUCUCUGGUCACCGACAUACUCUCCCAAGAUUCCAAGCUCCCAGCAGGUACAUUCCCACCACCUAGCCACUAAAAAACGGAGCUCUACACCAACACAGAAAUGACAAGAGCAUCUAGUUUUCAAGGUCACAUGAAGAACACCAACCACCCAAGAAAUCCACUGCAAAAUUUCACUUAGACCAGGCCUAGAUCCACUUUUUUGGGUUUUUUUUUGUUUAUUUUUUUUUUUUUUGGUCAACUAAAACUUUGGGACAGCAAACUCUCUAGGAGCUUCCAGUACAGACAUGUGCCAUUGCUCUGCUAAUGCAGAGGAGCACAACAGCUCCAACAAAUUUCAGCCUUCCUUCACCAACAGGUUUAGGUUCCCAGUAACUCACUACCCACAGUUUGCAGAGAUAAUCUGGGCUGAUUAACAGCUCUGGAAACAGCUACAGAUGUACACAGCCAUCUGAGCUGCUUUCAACACCCACCUGGAGUUACCUGCAUCUGAACUUUAGCCUAAGCAGCAAUCAAUCAAGCUGCUGGCAGGACUUCUCUUGACAUGACAUUUGAUAUUGAGCCCUAAGUGAAUAGGCUCAUUUACAUGAUUCUCCCUACACACUGCUAGCAGAGUAAUAAGCACUGCUGUCUGCAAUUAAAUCUGCAAUAAAGGAACAGCACCGAUGUCAUGUGCAAGUCAGCCAGACAGCAGAAAUGUACUUACUCUGUACACUACUGACCCCACAACACUCACUUCAGACCCUCAGUACAAAAAGGCCACUGUAAUGCUACACACACUUUGCUUUUGCAAUAUUCCAGGUUUGAGCUCAUCACGAGUAAUGAGCAAGGCUUUUCAGCAAGCCUGUUCAGCAUGGCACAGAAAAAUUCCUCCUAGCAACUGGAAACAGAACUAACUCCCUCCCUCCCUGAAAGUCCAAGAUAGGAAGUAGUUAAAUCAGCUAUUCACUGAAAUACUUCAUUUUAAAAAACAUUUAUUUUUCUUCUCGUUUUUUAUUUGUUCCAGUUUACUAAUUCCUACAGGCUAAGUUCCAGUGACUGCACUAUUCUUUUGUGUCCUGCUUCAAGGAGACAGAAACAAACAAAAUUAAUGUGUUCGGGGAACCCAGAGUCAGGACAGAAUUCAGUGCCCCUCUAGUCAUCACCCAAGGGUGAUGAUGGGAUUUUGUUUAUUUAUUACUAUUUCCUUGGUGACCCACAGGCAGUUCAAGAACAAGCUCUCCAACCACAAAAGAACUGUUUGCACAGAGAAUGCUGCCAUGUUUCUUACCUUCCAGUCAUCAAAUACAGAGUCAAUAACAACUUUGAUGGGGAAUAUUUGGAGAAACGUGAAAUAUUUACCUAAAUAUUAAAUGUUCUAUUUUAAAAGGUCCUUACAGUGCCAAGUGAUUCUCCCUUCCACCUGUUUUUCUCCUCCACCAAACAGGGACCAAGACAAGUACCAUUGUAACCAAAUAACUCUGAGCAUCAGGGAAAGGUCACCAAAGCCAGCAUUUUUCCAGAAGCACUCCUAGCACCGGGUCGUUCCUGCCAACAUGGACAGGUCUAGAACAGCCACGCUUGCCCAUUCCACCAGCUGAACCUUGUGUAUGCAAACUCCCAGACACACAAACUGCCUCAACUACAACAAGCAUAUAACCUGUGAUUCUCUUCUUUUGGUGGACUGGUGGCUUCAGGAUGCAGAUUAUCAUAGCAUAUUAGGGACUGAAAAAAACCAACUUUUCUCAAUAACAAAAAAUCCUGUCACAGAGCAGUGAUGUAUUUAAACCACGUAUACAGAGAAAGCACCUGCAGUGUCAGACCAAAUAAUUCAUGGCCUUAUUAGAAACAUCUUUUUCCUCAUAUUUUAUCUAUCUCUCCCCCUGCCAAUAUAAUUACUUCUAAUUUUUUUUCUAAUUUCUUUCCAAAUGAUCAACAUAAUUCCCAUAAUUUUAAUUCAGUAACAAACAGGAGUCUCAACUCAGGACAGUAGUGGCUUAUGCUGACAAGAACAGGUCUGUAAAACGCCAGUGUGAAGCUUUAACCCAAAUUUAUUUAUUAAAAAAAACCAAACACAAAACAAAAAAAAUUGCACUCUCCAACUAAAAAUCAACACUACCUUGAUGCAAGAACAAAUGAAGAACAUAGUAGAUGGGACCAGCCCAGCCCUGACAAUAUAAAAAAGGGGAAACUAAUUUGUUGUGACUAUGCCAACCGUGUCCGCACGCAGUGCGGCGCAGCUUCCGCUCCAGGAAUUGCUGCGGAGUCCCGGCCCUGAUGCAAGGGCACCCAAGAGAAAAGAUCUCCUUGUUCCACCCUUGGCACACCCUGCAAAACUGGCACCCCAGAGUAGAGUUAUGGGUGACUUUUUACAGACACCUGUGCUUUGCUCCAAAUUGGGUCUAAGAUGGAGGAGGAAAAGCAGCAACAGCAACCCACAUCCCAACCCAGAGUCAGCUGACUGGGGGCUUCUGCAUCCGGCCUUACGUACAGUACUUUAUUUGAAAAUUACAGACACACACAACAGACAUGACUACUGAGCAGCAGAGAGGGAGAGAAAGAGCAACACAAGCACUGGGCAGCGUUAGCAGAGGCCAUCAAACAGUUCAAGUGUGCGGACACAUUCCCCAUGCAUCGUCGCAGUGGUGGUCCCUGCUGCUAGCAAGCAACAAAAAGCAAAUGAAAACAAAAUAACUUAGACAAACAUAUGCUCAAACCAUCAUACUUGUACUGUUGGCAGCUAUCAAACACUGCACUGACACACAGCACUUCACUACGUGGCUAAACAGCACCUGAAGCUGACAGAGAAGGAGCUGCUGGUGACAGAAAAGCACCAGCAAAUAGCAGCAAAGCUCCAGCUUGUUUUAAAGAGCUGCAAGAUUUGCAGCACAGUGGAUCAUGGCAGAGCAGCACCAAGGCUAAGCAGUCCUGUGCACCCUUUGGAGGUGCAGGAACAGAGUGCACAGAGCUUGCUUGUGCUGAGAACGGUCCAUGCUGAGCACCCACAAGGGUUUCCUGUCAGUGUUAACUCUACUGAUGCUCGUGGGCUUCUUGCCAGUUUAGACAAGAGUGUGAAAUAAUUAAGUUGGUUACUCAAAACCAGACUCCUAAUUGGUAAAGUAUUAAGAGAUUUUCCAAAAUCACAUUUGAUACUAUUUCAGUACAGCUGCAGAAUUCCAUUUUUCUGUUUGAAUGCAAAGGUCUCUGGUAAUAUUAAGGCUUUUUGACAAACUUAAGAACAGCAGGACAAAAAUAAAGCAGAAAACUGAGGUACAUCUCCUCUCCAGAGUAAUGAACUAGAGCCACAGGAGAUGUACUUUCCAGAGCUCAGAAAGGCAAGUGCUCUGGUUUUCACAUUUCUCUUGCACCUUACAAAAAUAGUCCAGUUUUUCAAAGGUGGUAGAUUUUGCUGCUACCUGUAAAGUCACAUUAUUUUUGACAGAUGGAAGUUCUCCUUCCAUUCAAAGAGAAUUUAAGACAAUAUCUCUUUUGAAGAGCAAAGUUUCUGCCCAACUUUAUUUAGGACCUGAGAGAUCCACCUUUGCAAGCCAAGACAUAUGAAAUCAAUUUCCAAAACAUCUGUGAAAUUCUGCAGGUGAGAAUCAACCCAGAUAAAAGGGAGACUUUUUCUUCUUAGGUUAAAAGUAAGGACAGAAAAGUAAGGAUCUGUAAUAAUAUUCCCAUAGCUCUUGCAAUAAAUACAAGGAACAAUGAAGUAGCCAAACUUGGGACUGCACCAGCAGAAUUAUUUUCCCUUCUGAAGCUACCACCAAAUCCGAAGUGCAACAGAGGACAUAACCAGCAGAGACAAACCAGAAGACAGAAUCAUGCAUGGGUGACAUACAGAGUGUUUCAAGCAUAGCUCAGAAGUCCUGUAUUGAUAAGGAUGUUAAUGCACAUUCUGUACAUAAUCCUGGCAACAUGCUGCAUAAUCCUUAACAGGUGAUACUUGUUUAUGGAAAGCAGCCCUUCCCAACCCAAGCCACCCCAGCUGUCAGUCUCUACCUACCCAAGGGUCCUGUUUUCAUCCAGUUGCCCCCUCCCCUGCAUUUCCCCUUCCCUAAGAGUGCAUGAAUAGAGAAUUGCAAACAUUUCACACUGCACGUUCCACUCCAAGUCCUGGAUGAGGGGCCUGUUUAUUCUAUGAAUAUUGCACUUAUCCACUCAUUGGAUUUGCUUUUUCUCAAGAAUGCAGAAUAUUUGGGAAAAAAUAGAAAAAAUAGUAGGAUACAACACAGGAAAAUAUGAGUUAUUAACAAGCUAGCUAUGAAGAUCUAAAAUUAAAUAGUUCUAGUUCUAUUCUGUUAAUACUAGUAAUAUGAAAAUAAUGAAUGCUUUAUCAAAUUCCCUUGUUUUUCAUAUAAGAUAAAAGCAGUAACUUUCUUUUUAACUGAGGAAAGCAAUGAAUAUAUAUUACAAUAAAAUAUGAUUCAUUAAGAUCUGAAAGUGAUGAAAACAAUUAUAUAAUGCCUUCGUCAAACUUUAUAGCAUCAUAAUGGAAGGGGUCUUUGGGGUACAUAUCCACGAGGGAAAAAAAUGCAUUUUUUAGCUAUACCCAUGCAGAUGUGAAUUUCUAUUUUGUAGAGUCUAGCUGCGAAACAAUCUUUCCUUAUUGUGUACUUGUUACUAUUGAAUACAUCAAUUUAAAAACUUCCUGUUGACACAUCAGUUAAGUACCCCAACAUGUGCCCAUCAUCUCUUUUAUCUUGAAAGGUGUGGCUUGCAAAGGAGUAGCACAUAGGACUACACUCACCCAUUGCAUGGGGUGACAGCUAAAACAAUGAACAGGAAUUGCCUCCCAUGGGGAAGGGCUCCUAACAAAAUGCAUGACCACUUGCUGUUAUGAGAAAGUGUUUUGAAAGGGGAGACAAGGGAAACCAGCAAAUAAACUUUUCAGGCAUUAUAUAAACCUCAAUAACGAACUCAGAAGUGCUCAUUAUUAUUAAAGUUGCAGUAUACAGCAAGACACAAUUUUCACAUUCUUUAAUUUUGUUCUCUGGCAUUGGAGUUUGGAAUUGCUGCUGGUCCAAAUUGAAGACUUUUUGUAAAAUACAGAGUGGGUGAGAGCAAGACAGCACGAGCAGCUGCCUCUCCCCCCAGAGGAGGGCCCCCUUCAGCUGCAAAUGGCUUUGCUCAAGCCCUGCAGACUCUUCCUCUUAACAAUCUGGUUCAGGAAUAAACCAGAAAGAGAAAUUUAAACAGUACUGUUGAUUUCUGCAUUGAGUGUUCACUGAGGUGUACAUUACAUUUAAAUAUUGCUCUUGAUCCAGUGUCAGUUCUGACAAAUUUAGUAAAUAAAAGGCGACGUUAACAUUUUUAGAAAAGAGCUAAAACACUUCUAGCACUACACUGUCCUCUGAGUACUCUGCCAGGUCUUCCUGCCCUGCAGUCAGCUUUUCUGAUGUAGCUUAAGGCCUUUCCCUCUGUUUCAUGGCUAAGAGCGAAGGGCUUGCUAUUUCAGGUAUCAGUAGAACUAACCAAAACUAGCUGCUCGCUGAUGGAAAAAAUAAUUGUUGUCCUGAUAUCUCUCAGUUGAAAAUAUCACACCUCAGUGAGAGAUGCUAUGACAAUGGUAAGACAAGAGUGGGAAAAAUUGCAUUGGGAGUAUUUGUUUUAAAAGUGCCCUUUUAAACAUAAGCAGCCAAAACAACUACCAAGUGAAGGGAAGCCCAAAUGGAAGCUUUGCCACCAGGAUGGAAGCCAGCAUGCCAAGUGGUGGCCAACAAUAAUUUCUGGUACCAAGUAGGCCACGUGCACCCCAUCCUUUUUGCUGGUACAGGUGAGGGCAGAGGGAGGCCACAAGUGUGGCUCUGCAGCCCAUCUACAGGGUCUGGCCUCACCUCAGGAGAGUGUGAAGCCUUUGAGAUGGGAUAAAGCAACUGAGGCACGGAGCUGCUGCGGGAGAAAACCCUGGCAGUACUGCAGGCAGCCUCACUGUGCCACCCUGCCCUGCCUGGAGCACUGCAAACCACCUCCCUGCAAAAGCCAGAGCUGGAGAAGCAAGCCAGCAGGAUGGAAUAGGAGCUGUGGGACAGACUGAUGUCUGUCUCAGGCAGAUCUUGAAGCCUCCUAACCUGAGCCUCACGGAGAACUUGCAUCCACAGGGGCCAGCCCUAUGCAAGGCACAUGGCAGCCAGGCACUGGAACCAUCUGCCAAAAACACCUGCGCCACCCCACACCCUGCAAGGAACUCCUGCAGCUCAGAUGUGCCCAGGACUCGGCUUUGCUGGAUGCAAAUGUGAGCAUUUCCAGUAGUCUGGGCUCUUCUGUCUCCUUGCUGCUCUUCCCUCCUUGGACAGGGGCUCGUGUCAGGCCAUACCAUACUCAGAGAAUUCAGUGGCUCAAUGCAGAAGAUCUGGGAGCUGUGCUUCACAUCCCCCCAAAGAGAUGACCUAGUGGGAAUGUCUUUAAACAAAACUUUAGAAUAUUUUAAAUAAUAAGUUAAUUCUUAAUAAAUAUGUGCUUCAAGAAAAUGUUAAUUAUAUACUGCACCUUUAAAUAAUGCACUUAGUUCUCUGCAUUGGCUUCCAUUUUGGUUUCUUUUAUUGUUAAAGUGCAUUAAUUCAAAAUAAUGAACCACUUCCGCAUCAUUAUUGUUAAAAUAAAUCAUAACAUUAAUACGAAUCACUAAGUCACUACUAUUAGUACUGCAAUCUAGCAGAUAACUCUAUGUAUUGCUCUAUUUAAUACUGUCCAGCAGAAGAAUAUAAUACUUCUAUUAUAAUCUCACAACAGCUCCAGCAGUCUUUUAUGGCUGCUACCAUAUUAGUACAACUAAAAAUGGGGAGAAGUAUGAGAGACAGGGCCACAAUGUCUCAGAUACACAUCCAGUGAGAGGAAGCUAACUGGACAUACACUUACACAUUGUAUGGAGAGACAUUAAGGUACAAAGAGGACCCCGCACUGGGAUAUGAGCUGUUGUGCAGUUACACCUCCUUCUCCUGCCACCACAAUUUAAAGGGAUCCCAAACAAACAGCCUCCCCUCCCCACCUGCACGCAGAGAGCUGCUCAAACCACAGCACUGUUUGCAGCCUGUAGUUGUGGCACCUGGAUGUUGUUUCAGCUACUGAAAGGACAUCAGCCACGUUAGCUGUAGGCAACUCUCUCGGUGUUAUCAUGGAAAUUAAUAAAACCCCCAAACCACACACAGAAACAGAAAGAAAAGAAAAAAAGUAAAAGAAAAAAAAGGAAAAAGACAAGAACAACGUAUAAAUUUCCUAAUUUUUGUUUUGGCAGUGAAACAUCCCCAGUAACAUAUGGACUUGUUGUGCUGUUUUACUCAGCCCCUUGAUACCAGCUAUUUUGAAGCCUUUAUAACUUUUAACUUCCAAACCUAAUCAGUAUUAAACUCUGGUGGAAAAAAGGACAUGCAAUGCUUUGUGUAAAACAGUAGUGAAAUGGUCUUCUGGCCCCCCCCACCCUCCCUUAGAACAGACUUACAAUGCUGCUUAUUAUUUAAAGGAAUUAGAUAUUGAUCUUGAGUGAUUAACAAGGCCAUUAAAGAAAACCCCCAAGCAUGACUUCCUUAAACACAGUAGGGAUUUAGUAAGUUAUCUUUAUGGUACAAGGCUACCUAACUA